rnacentral:rRNA from 1 species
AGCAGCCGCGGUAAUUCCAGCUCCAAUAGCGUAUAUUAAAGUUGUUGCAGUUAAAAAGCUCGUAGUUGAAUUUCGGGGUUAGCAAGUUGGUCGUGCCUUUGGUAUGCACUGGCUUUGCUGAUUCCUCCUUCUUGAGGAACUGUGAUGCUAUUAAUUUGGUGUUGCAGGGAAACAGGACUGUUACUUUGAAAAAUUAGAGUGUUUAAAGCAGGCUAACGCUUGAAUACAUUAGCAUGGAAUAAUGAAAUAGGACGUUUGAUCCUAUUUUGUUGGUUUCUAGGAUUGACGUAAUGAUUAAUAGGGAUAGUUGGGGGCAUUAGUAUUCAAUUGUCAGAGGUGAAAUUCUUGGAUUUAUUGAAGACUAACUACUGCGAAAGCAUUUGCCAAGGAUGUUUCAUUAAUC